AAAUGGACUUCUCAAGCUUACACACUCUAUUCGGAUGCUUCGGAUCCACAAACCCCUCUGGCUGAGCCAUGUAAACAUCCUCAGCCAACUUCCCAUUAAGGAAAGCGGUCUUGACAUCCAUUUGCCAAAUCUCAUAAUCAUGAAAUGCAGCAAUUGCUAGCAUCACUCUAAUAGAUUUUAUCUUCGCAAUUGGUGAGAAGGUCUCAUCAAAGUCAACUCCGGGAGUUUGACUAAAUCCCUUUGCGACCAAUCGCGCUUUAUAUGUGUGUACGUUCCCAUCCACGUCGGUCUUCUUCUUGAAGAUCCAUUUGCACCCAACGGUCUUACGUCCGGGCACGUAAUCAACCAAAUUCCAAACUUGGUUAUCAUACAUGGAUUGGAUCUCGCUAUCCAUUGCCUCUUUCCACUUUACAGACUCCGGGCCUGCCAUGGCUUCCUUAUAGCUAUUAGGUUCAUCAAGGUUUACUAGUGUACCAUCACUAAUAUACGUGUCCCCUUCGGUAGUAAUAUGAAAACCAUAAAACUGGGGUUGAACUCUAACUCUAUCGGAACGUCUAAGAGGUAAGGAUUCGUCAAUCGGUUCAACCGGAGUUUCCUCCUCGGGUUGAGUGCCAGCGGUAGAGGUUCCUUCAUCUAUCGACUCUUGAAUCUCUUCAAGUUCGAUUUGCCUCCCACUGUCUCCUUGGCUUAUGAGUUCUCGCUCUCGGAAAACUCCUCUCCUCGCAACGAAGACAACAUUGUCCUUCGGUCUAUAGAAGAGAUAUCCAAAGGAUGUCUGCGGGUAGCCGAUGAAAAUACAUCGCUCACUUCGAGGUUCAAGCUUGUCGUGAGUAUCUCGUCUUACGAAAGCCUCGCAACCCCAAACCUUGAUAUGUGCCAACGAGGGAGCUUUCCCUGUCCACAUCUCGUGAGGUGUUUUGGCAACCUUCUUAGUAGGGACUCGGUUAAGGAUAUGGGCGGCAGUCUCUAAGGCAUACCCCCAAAAAGAGAUAGGUAGUGAAGCACGACUCAUCAUAGAGCGAACCAUAUCCAAUAAGGUUCGAUUACGCCUUUCUGCCACACCAUUCAACUGCGGUGUCCUAGGAGGCGUCAAUUGCGAAACUAUUCCACACUCCUUGAGAUAAUCGUGGAAUUCAAGACUUAGGUACUCUCCUCCUCGAUCGGAUCGAAGCAUCUUGAUUUUCCUGCCCAAUUGAUUCUCCACUUCAUUCUUGAACUCUUUGAACUUUUCAAAGGUGUCUGACUUUUGCUUGAUUAAGUAGAUAUACCCAUAUCUACUAUAGUCAUCGGUAAAAGUCACAUAGAAGCGGUUCCCAUCCUUCGUGGUUGAUCUAAACGGUCCACAUACAUCGGUAUGUAUUAGGUCCAAUAGACCCUCGCCCCUUUCACAUGUACUCGUGAAGGGUGACUUAGUCAUCUUUCCAAGCAAACAAGACUCGCAUGUGUCAUCUUCCCUAAGGUCGAAUGACUCCAACACUCCAUCCUUUUGGAGUUGGGCUAUGCGUUUCUUGUUGACAUGUCCAAGACGACAAUGCCACAAGGAUGCUUUAUCCAUACUAGUGGAAGAAUCAAUAUUCAAAACAUCAUUUCCUAAGUUAUCAACAAUCAUAACGGUUUCAUAUAUUCCAUUACAUGGUAUAGCUUCAAAGUAAAAGACACCAUUUAGAUAAGCCAAAAUAGAACCAUUCUCAUUAUUAAAAGAAAAUCUAAAUCCUUGUCUAUAUAAACCAUGAAAUGAAAUGAUGUUUCUAGCCAUUUCUGGCGAAUAGCAACAAUUGUUCAAAUCUAAAACCAAACUAUUCCUAAGCACUAAAGAAUACACUCCAAUCUUGGUCACAGGCGACGAUCUUCUGUUCCCCAUGAUUAGAUUGAUCCUUCCUUGCUCCACAUCCCUACUUCUUCUUAGUCCCUGCACAUUAGAACAAAUGUGAUAACCACAACCGGUAUCAAGAACCCAAGAAAUAGCAUGAUUAGAAUCGUUAGAUUUGAUUGUAUAUAUACCUGCGAAAGAUGGCUUGAUCUUUCCUUCUUUGAUUGCUUGCAGGUAAUCCGGGCAGCUUCUCUUCCAAUGUCCUAUCUUGUGGCAGUGGUGGCACUCUGCCUCCUUCGGGUUAGAGCAGGGCUUGGCGGGAUCAACUUUGGUCCCACUAGAAGAGGCACCAUCUCGGGCUUUCACCUUGCGAUAGUUCUUCGAUGAAGCUUUCCUCUUCUUUCCCUUCCCUUGUCCAAUAGCCAAGACAGGAGCAGCGGGCGGAUUGGGAGUAGGUGCAACAGACUUGUCCUUGAAGUUGCUCUCAGCAACCCUCAAGAGACCUUGGAGCUUGCUUAGGGUGACCUCUUCUUUGUUCAUGUGGUAGGUCAUCCUAAAUUGGUUGUACAUCGGAGGCAAAGAGUGAAGCACCAUGUCGAUCGCCAAGUCUUCACCGAAGUCAACAUUUAACUUGCGGAGGCGGUCAACAUACCUUUGCAUCUUUUGCAAGUGCACGGUAAGAGAUUCUCCAUGACCCAUCUUCGCGGAAAUCAUGUUAGUGAAAAUCUCGUACCUCUCUUGUCUCGCGUUUUGGUGGUACCUCUCCAAUAAGUCUUGAUGCAUCUCGUACGGGUACAUGUCCUCGUAGGACUUUUGGAAUUCGGAGUUCAUGGUGGCGAUCAUGAUGCAAUGUACCUUCGUUGCAUCUCGCUCAUGAGUUUCAAAGGCGGUGAUUUCGGCGGGAGUAGCAAUUUCGGGGUUGAUUUUCUCGAGCUUCUCAUCGAGGACAUACUCCUUAUCCUCAUAGCGAGCAAUGGUGCGAAUGUAUCUUAUCCAUUCGCUAAAGUUCGUUCCAUCGAAGGUGACCUUUUGGCAAAGGCUCAUCAACGUGAAAGAACUAGCAGCAGCGUUGUUUGCGUUCGACAUCUACAAUUAGAAAAGGACAAAGAUAGAUUAGAAUAAGAAUCCCUAAUUAUCACCCAAUAAGAAAAUUAGGGCUAGGAUCCAACAAUAACAUUUACAUACUAGAAAAGGGAUGCCGUAAUCUAACAUGCAAAUAAAUUGAAGGUAAGUGAAUGACGAUUCACUAAUUCUCCAUCACAAAACUUAAACUAUUAGUCCUAAGUGUUUUUGAGAAUUCCUAGGUUCGGAUGAGAUUCAUUGAAACUAUUCAAUGGCAUGUUUAAAUCUCGAUAUGCCCCUCUUGUUUGUGACUGGGAUGCCGAGGAUCACAAAGCGGGUGUGAAUUACCAUGCAAAUUCACAUGGUGCCUUCAUUGUAACAAUCACCUAUUCGAUGUGCCGGUAAACCACACACGCUCCAUCGAACUAUGAUAAACAAUGAAUCACCCUUUGCCACCUUCGCUUAGAACCAAUUAGUGUGCCGGUAAACCACACACGCUCCACUAACAUCUUAGCAAGGUGCAAAGUGUAAUUUCAUGGGAUUGCAUCAAUUCACUUUUCCUAAAGUAACUAGGAUUGGGAAAUUUUAAAAAAAUGUGUAGUUACUUUAUAUUUCUUAUUAUACUUUUAAUGAGAGGAUGAGGUUGCCCUAUCCUACCCGUUCGGCUAACGACCCUCCACCAAUCAAGCAAGCGGUGGGUGUGAGUGUACACCCAUUAAGCGCCAUUUUAUAGGCCGCAACCUUAUACCCACCUUAUAGAUCGGCUUCGUGAAUGAGGCCUACUAACGGUAAGACUAGCAUUUAGUUAUACAUAUAUAUAUUAUUCUAGUAAUAUCAUAUUAGUAUAGGGUUGUAUUUUAAAACUUUUAAAAUCUAGGGUUUGAAAUUUAAGUUGUCUAAAUUAAAACUUUUAAUCACAAAAGUAAAUUUCAAAACAUGAGGGUAGGUUUUAAACAUUUAAAACAUGGAGGAUCAAAUAACAAAUAAUUCCAAUUAACAAUUAAUAUCCUAAUUAUCUAUAUUUGAUUUAUUCAAGAUUUCUUUUAAAGAUAAUUACCAAAAUAAUCAAAAUAAUUAAUUAAUUAUCAUAUAAGGAAAUUAAAUAUUUAAUUAGUUGAUAAUUACCUUUAACUAGAUCAAGAUAAUAGUUAUAUUUAUCAGAAAAACGAAUUAAUGUUGAUCUAAUUAGUUUAUGGUAAGUUAAGAUAAGAUAAACACAAAGAAAUCCCGAAUCUGGCCAUUCCUGACGCCUGGACUCGCCGAGUGCACAAAUGGACUCGCCGAGUCAGGCCUACUCGCCGAGUCCACUUUGAGACUCGCCGAGUCCAUGACUCAGAAACCAAAAAUUCGAAUUUUGCAGGUUUGUUUCAGUUAAUCAAGCAACAAUUUACAGAAAACCAAGCUAGGCUCUGAUACCACUGAUGGGUUUUAGCCAUAAGAACUUUCCUAUGUGCGCAUGCAAAACCCUAAUGCUUGGAUCUAGGCUUUCUAAUAAACAUGCUUUGAAUCCAAGACUUCUAAUUACUAAUUAGGUUAAACAAGAACAUUAAAACAGAUCUAGAAUCAUACCUUUGAGUUCCUUGUUGAUCUUGAGGUCUUGGAGCUUCUAGAGUCACAAAUGUCACUCCUCUAAUGGCUUACAAACACCAAAGCAAGGAGGAUGAUUUGGGAGAGAGGAGAGGGGAGGAAUUUCGACCAGAGGUUCCUUACUUUAGGUCAAGUGUCGAAUUCCAUCAGCCAUGGGGUCUAUUUAUACUUGUAGACUCCUUAAGGAUUACAGAUAAGUCCCUAUCAGAUAAUCUUCUCUUAAGGCUAUCCAAAUCCAUUCCUAGAUAACUCUAAUGGACGAUUUUAGCUAUCCUAAUCCUCUUAGAAUUCGUCCAUAGUAUAUCCAAAUGGAUUUACAGUUUAAAGCUUAACUAUCAAACAAUUGACAGUUUAUACCCCUUUAUUUAAUUAAUCUCUUUAAGUCACCAAAUUAAUUCUAAUUAAUUCUAUGACUUAUAUUAAUCAAAUAACAAAUAUAUUAUUCAUUAUAUUAUUCCCAUAAUAUAUUAAUAAUAUUUACUCUCUCUUAAUAAAUCAUCCUAUCAAGUUGCUAUGGUGAAGGCAACCCAAAAGGACCAUGCACAACCGGAUAUAGUUACAGCCUUAGACACUAUUCCAACAGUCUCCCACUUGGAUAAGUCUAGUAACUAUACAAGUACAAUUCGGUUUGCAAUCGUAGCUCUCAAAGACGCUGUCAACUCUGAUCUAAUCAAUCUUGUCCUUUAGAUAAGGGAACGUACAGUCCUCUGUUAGAUAUCAUGCUGACAAUCCUAUGGAAUGGUUAGUCAAGCAUUUAGGUUUCUCGAUCUCUGAUUUAUUUGACAUAGAACUUAAUCGAACACAUCAAUUCAGUUCUGACCGGGCCCGGCACAUAAGUCAAAUCAAAUCAUCGAGCGGCCGAGAUAUCGCUUUUACCUUCUUAGAUAAAAGUUACAGAUAAACUUCGACUUAUAUGCAUUUACUUAUUCAUUAACCAACUAUACACAACAAUACGUUUUAUAACACCAAGUUACUGAUGCGUUUUCGUAUUAUCAAUGUACAAUCAAUUAACAAAUAAUAAACCAUAUAUCUAGGUUUUAAGACUAUAUGAUAUUAUCGUCUUGCGAUCACCUUUUAUAUCGUAUUCCAUAAGGUGAUUCCAGCAAGCGCGGGUUUAUUCCAAUGCUCAAAACUAGUUCAUAAGCACUCAUGAACGUUGCAGCAAUCCUUUGCUAUGUCUAACACCAUUUAGACAUUCUACACACCAAUUCAUGACAAUCUUCUUUCAUAUCUACUCCCAACAUAUGAACGAUUGUGGACCAUUUGAAUAAUUCGAUUAUUCCUAAUAAACUCAAUUAUUCUGGAAGUCAAAACAUGCAAAGUGAAACAAUAGCUAAACAAUUAACAUAAGAUAGUAACAUUACUCAUAAAUAAAACUCCUUUAUUUAAUCAUCAAAUGUCAAUUACAUUUAUCUAUUACACGUUUCUAAUACUAUCUAAUCUAUGCUAAUAUCAUCCUUCAGCCCAAUACUCCUAGCAUGCUGCAAGUGCUUAACCCUACUCAGUCCCUUCGUAAGCGGAUCUGCUGGGUUAUCUUCUGAUGAUAUCCUCUUCACUACGAGUUGUCCUUCUUCUACACGAUGUCUAAUGAAGUGAUACUUUCUGUCGAUAUGUCUUGAUCUACCAUGAUCCCUCGGUUCCUUGGUUAAGGCAACCGCACCUUCGUUAUCACAGAAAAUCUCCAUUGGCUCCUUUAUGGCAGGUACGACUCCAAGAUCACCGAUGAAGUUCUUUAGCCAUAUUGCCUCCUUCGACGCUUCGCUCGCUGCAAUGUACUCUGAUUCGCACGUUGAAUCAGCUACGGUUUCCUGCUUGGAACUCUUCCAUGUCACUGCUCCUCCAUUUAGGGUAAAGACCCAGCCCGACUGCGAACGGUAGUUGUCCCUGUCGGUCUGAAAACUGGCGUCACUAUACCCUCGCACCUUCAAGUCAUCACUCCCUCCGAGGACUAAGAACCAUUCCUUCGUCCUCCGAAGGUACUUAAGGAUAUUCUUCACCGCAAUCCAAUGUGCUUUGCCAGGAUUCCCUUGAUAUCUGCUAACCAUGCUCAAAGCGAAGGCUACAUCAGGGCGAGUACAAGUCAUAGCGUACAUGAUUGAGCCAACUGCGGAAGCGUAUGGUACUCGGCUCAUUUCUGCUAUCUCAGCUUCGGUACUCGGACUUUGAGUCUUACUCAAUUUGGCAUUACUUUGUAUCGGUAGUUCUCCCUUCUUUGAGUUUUCCAUACUAAAACGUUUUAGUACCUUCUCUAAGUAAGUAUUCUGACUAAGUCCAAUUAGUCUCUUACUUCUUUCUCUUACUAUCCUUAUUCCCAAAAUGUAAGAAGCCUCUCCGAGGUCCUUCAUAGCGAAGCACUUCCCGAGCCAGGACUUAACCUCCUGCAGAGUCGGGAUGUCGUUUCCUAUGAGUAAUAUGUCAUCGACAUAUAGAACGAGGAAGCUUACUAUACUCCCACUGGCUUUGACAUAUACACAAGAUUCGUCUUCGCUUCGUACAAAUCCAAACUCUUUGACUUUCUCAUCGAAGCAAAGAUUCCAUCUGCGAGACGCUUGCUUAAGUCCAUAAAUGGACUUCUCAAGCUUACACACUCUAUUCGGAUGCUUCGGAUCCACAAACCCCUCUGGCUGAGCCAUGUAAACAUCCUCAGCCAACUUUCCGUUAAGGAAAGCGGUCUUGACAUCCAUUUGCCAAAUCUCAUAAUCAUGAAAUGCGGCAAUUGCUAGCAUCACUCUAAUAGAUUUAAUCUUCGCAACUGGUGAGAAGGUCUCAUCAUAGUCAACUCCGGGAGUUUGAGUAAAGCCCUUCGCAACCAAUCGCGCUUUAUAUGUGUGCACGUUUCCAUCCACGUCGGUCUUCUUCUUGAAGAUCCAUUUGCACCCAACGGUCUUACGUCCGGGCACAUAAUCAACCAAAUUCCAAACUUGGUUAUCAUACAUGGAUUGGAUCUCGCUAUCCAUUGCCUCUUUCCAUUUUGCAGACUCCGGGCCUGCCAUGGCUUCCUUAUAGCUAUUAGGUUCAUCAAGAUUUAUUAGUGUACCAUCACUAAUAUACGUGUCCCCUUCGGUAGUAAUAUGAAAACCAUAAAACUGGGGUUGAACUCUAACUCUAUCGGAACGUCUAAGAGGUAAGGAUUCGUCAAUCGGUUCAACCGGAGUUUCCUCCUCGGGUUGAGUGCCAGCGGUAGAGGUUCCUUCAUCUAUCGACUCUUGAAUCUCUUCAAGCUCGAUUUGCCUCCCACUGUCUCCUUGGCUUAUGAGUUCUCGCUCUCGGAAAACUCCUCUCCUCGCAACGAAGACAACAUUGUCCUUCGGUCUAUAGAAGAGAUAUCCAAAGGAUGUCUGCGGGUAGCCGAUGAAAAUACAUCGCUCACUUCGAGGUUCAAGCUUGUCGUGAGUAUCUCGUCUUACGAAAGCCUCGCAACCCCAAACCUUGAUAUGUGCCAACGAGGGAGCUUUCCCUGUCCACAUCUCGUGAGGUGUUUUGGCAACCUUCUUAGUAGGGACUCGGUUAAGGAUAUGGGCGGCAGUCUCUAAGGCAUACCCCCAAAAAGAG
rnacentral:lncRNA from 1 species